GGAAGCAUCUGACCCUGAUGAUCUCGUGGGCACCUGGAAAGCAUCAUUUAGGAAUAGAAACUGUGAGAUUCUGCAGGGUGAACCAUGAGGCAAUAUAGCAGUGAAUUCUAUUGCCAGACCAGAUGAACCUGUCAGCACUGGCCAUCAUGGGAUCAACAAUCUAAGGGAAAGAGAAGUCUUUUAGACAGAAGAAGGAAAAAAAAGUCUUCCCUAGCAACUUCUAUUGUCUUUCCUGCUACACUGCCAUUGUCACUGACGAAGCAGAGGGGGACACAAAAACUCAGAGGCCAGUUUUCUUUGUCUUUUUUCCAUGG
rnacentral:lncRNA from 1 species